rnacentral:snRNA from 1 species
AUCGCUUCUCAGCCUUUUGGCUAAGAUCAAGGGUAGUAUCUGUUCUUAUCAGAAAGAGUCUCAAAGGGAGACCAGAGAAACUCAGUGUAUAGUAGUUUUCCACGCAGAGGAGACAAUGACUGCACAGGGAGAAAGAAAUGAACAUUUGCCUUUCCUGCUUCCCAAAGCUGU